GUUUUCAUAUUCGGAAAGAUCAGGCUUUUAGCUAUUGAAUGACAUGCUUUUCAUGACAAGUGGAGAAAAAAUAAGCAUGUAGGAGGCCGAUUAAAAAUGUUAGUCAAAAUCGCAUAUUUUCACCUCUGUGCCUCAUUAAAACAAUACAUAACAAAAGAAAAAGCAAUUAAUCACGAACGUGUCGUAGCUUACCUAAGAUUUAUUCCCACUUAAUAAUUAUUAUGAAUAUGUGUGCAGUUUAAUGAAGUGAAAUUCAUCAACUUAAGUCCUAAAGGGGGUUCAUUUUCAAUGGUUUUAGACCCAACUCUCAACGGUGAAAAUAUGUGAUUCUGACUAACAUUUUUUAUCGGAUUCGUAUUUGCUCAUUUUUUAUCCAUUUGGCAUGAAGAAGAUAUCAUUCAACAGCUAAAAGCAUGAUCUUUCCGAAUGUGAAAAAAUCUCGUUCAUACGCAGAGUAAUUAGAUCAAUAGCGCGCUGAAGUUCGAUUACAUUUUUAUUAUAUCCCCAAUUAUAUCCCCAAUUCUAUAAUACUUUACCAGCGAGCCUCACAUUUUUAUUAAUAAUCUAUCUGCUCCUUUAAAUUGGUUUGAUUUUCUUUUUGCCUUAAAAGUCCAACAAUACAGUAGCCUGCAUGCAUUUAGGAAAACUGCAUAAAAAGGUUUCAGUAUGAAAGAGCUUUGUGCAGACUGCAGACAUUUACAUAUGGAUUUACUGUGCAUACAUAUUUAAACCUUUGCACACUCAAUGAAUUGUGUGGUUGAUAUGAAUUGUGUGGUUGAUAUGAAUUGUGUGGUUGAUUCUAAGGGCCUGUUCAUAUAAGCGGCUGGCCUGGUCUGGUAGCCGGCAGACUCGCAAGUGGCGAGAUUUUGCCUUGUAUUAUGUUUUUUUUUAUAUUUUUGAGAUUUGAUUUGCAUGAGAACCUGGCCCGGUUUGCCAGACUCGCAUUUAUGUGAGGCGAGAUCCUUGCCUUCCUAGGCUCGUAUGAACACACUUGACACUUGAUAGUGGUUAACCCAGGAAACCGGGCUGCCUGCCUCGUGUGAAACAAAUAACAACUUGAUCCGGCAAAAGCGAACUAGCCUGGUUUAACAGGCCAGCCCGGCUCAUAUGACAGGCCCUAAUUCUCUAUCUUGAAUAAAACUUGUAUUAUGAAGGUUGUUCCAACGAGUCUGAUACAGUCGUGAUACAACAAUAUUGUUACGACCUUGUGUCGUCAAACUUUUAAUAUUCUUGUUAUAUCAUGACUGUAUCAGACUUCUUCAAAACAACCUUGUAACAAGUCUAUAGGACCAUUAGGAAAGUGAUAGGGGGGGGGGGGACAUUUUCGACUUGGGCGAAUAUUUUUUUAAAAUUUUUUGCUUGUGUCGAUAUAAUAUUAUAUAAUCCCUUGCACGAAUUUUUUUUUCAAAUUUUUUUGGUGCACAAAGUUUUUUUCUUUCUGUUUUCCCUGCUCAAUUUUUAUUUUCGCUUCCCCCCCCCAUCACUUUUCUAAUGGUCCGCCCCCUAUAGGAACACAACCUUUACUGAAAAAUUGUUUUCACCCCCCCCCCGUCGCCAAAAAAAUUCCGGUCAGUGUACCAUUUUAGGGGUCAAAAAUUUUUUCCGGACAUACAAAAAUUUUCCGUGAAGCCAAAAAAUUUUCCGGAUAUCUUAAAUUUUCGCCAUUUCUUCAAAAUAUUUUUCUAAAUUCCAAAAAUUUCCCAAAA
rnacentral:lncRNA from 1 species